rnacentral:misc_RNA from 1 species
CCUCUGCUUGCCAAGCUGUAAACAAAGGAAGCUUGUAACACGAACCUGGGAAACGAAGACCCGCAUUAUGAACAUGAAGGCAUUCGGACUAGUGACAAGCCUUCUGCUGGCGGUUCUGAUCUUGUCACCUGCAAGCGAUGCCCGGCUGCUAAGAGGUCCUUGCCCCAACCCCACCAUUACGUUUCUGCAUCAAGGAGUCUCGUGCUUCGAUGACAGCGAUUGUCCAACGGAACAAGUGUGUUGUCCCUAUGACCGCAACUGGUAUUGUACUGAUAUAAUUAGGUGAGUUCAAGCUUCAAGAUUAUAAAUACUUCAAUCAAUAAAGUUUAUAGGAUGAAGUUUCGUAUCAAUUUUAACUUUAAAUGGUGGCAAUAAAUGUCGAACUUUCAACCCAUGUGUCAUAACCCAUCGUAAGACUUUUAUCUAGUAAACUGAAAGACGU